rnacentral:ribozyme from 12 species
UUUAUGGAUUCCAUUUUAUAUUAUUUUUCUCCGUUCUCUCUCAUCUCUCCUCCGUGUGUGUGUGAAAUAAAGCAACACAAAAAUGGACGCAUGAGUUUUGGACAAAGCGGAAGAGGAGUCAUGAAAAUAUUGAAAUUUAUGUU